rnacentral:rRNA from 1 species
CAGUCGCCGCGGGAAUACGUAGGGUGCAAGCGUUAAUCGGAAUUACUGGGCGUAAAGCGUGCGCAGGCGGUUUGUUAAGACAGAUGUGAAAUCCCCGGGCUUAACCUGGGAACUGCAUUUGUGACUGGCAAGCUAGAGUAUGGCAGAGGGGGGUGGAAUUCCGCGUGUAGCAGUGAAAUGCGUAGAUAUGCGGAGGAACACCGAUGGCGAAGGCAGCCCCCUGGGCCAAUACUGACGCUUAUGCACGAAAGCGUGGGGAGCAAACAGGAUUAGAUACCCGAGUAGUCCCUGUCUCUUAUAC